GUGCUUGCUUCAACAGCACAUAUACUAAUAUUGUAAUGAUACAGAGAAGAUAACAUGGCCCCUGUGCAAGAAUGACAUGCAUAUUAAUGAAGUAUUCUAUAUUUUU